rnacentral:rRNA from 1 species
AUGCAGUGUGUGAAAUCAACAACUUUUUCAGUUAAGUUGAACGGUGGUAUUUCUCAUCAUUUCAACCCGUCCAGAGGGCUGCGCCAGGGGGAUCCCCUCUCCCCAUACCUCUUCUUGUUCUGUGUGGAAGGGUUCUCCGUGCUCUUGAGGGUUGCGCAACAGGAGAAGCAAGUUAAGGGAUUGGCUUUCGGGAGUAGUGGACCUACGGUGACUCACCUCCUCUUUGCUGAUGAUAGUGUGGUGUUUGUGGAGGGCUCACGAGAUAACUUUGAGGAUUUACGGUCCAUCAUUAAAGAGUAUGAGGAUGCCUCGGGACAGAAAGUCAACCUCCACAAAUCUGCAAUCUUCUUUGGAAAAGGAAAACCAGAUGAUAAAAAGGAGGAACUAAAACAAGUGCUAGGGGUUUCGGAGGAGGCACUGAGCGAGAGAUAUCUUGGACUACCCACGGUGGUGGGGAAGUCGAAGGACGGAACCUUCAAAUAUGUUGAGACAAGUGCGAGGGGGAAGGUU